rnacentral:rRNA from 1 species
UACGUAGGGUGCGAGCGUUAAUCGGAAUUACUGGGCGUAAAGCGUGCGCAGGCGGUUCGUUGUGUCGGUGGUGAAAGCCCCGGGCUUAACCUGGGAAUGGCCAUGGAAACUGGCGAACUGGAGUGUGGCAGAGGGGGGUGGAAUUCCGCGUGUAGCAGUGAAAUGCGUAGAGAUGCGGAGGAACACCGAUGGCGAAGGCAGCCCCCUGGGCUGACACCGACGCUCAGGCACGAAAGCGUGGGGAGCAAACAGG